CGUUAGUGAGAUCUUGAUGGUUUUUCCUUUAAUCUUGGAGACUGCCUACUACUGAAAACUACUUCUCCAUCUCGUCAUUUUACAUUCAGGUUUGGAUGAACGGACUAACCAGACCCUCAAGACUGCCAUGGGCAAGUCCCAUGACGGGAAGGAAUGGUGGGAGGACAACCUGGGAGGACAACCUGAAGAUAAUUCUCUCUGCACACAACAGCAGCGUUCAGGGCCUCCAGAGUACUCACCCUAUCUAUCGCCUGCUGUACGGACGGGAGCCAUAGCUGUUUACUGAGGUAAACAAUGCAAUUGUAUAUACAAUUAUUGCAUAGAGUGGAGUAUUACAAUAUGUGAUUGGCUUCGUGUUGUUUGUCUGUUUCUACUUUUGUAUAACGUACUUUGAGAUCACUGAAACUCCACCUGGUGUGGUGAAAGUUGUCAAACCAGAUCAGAACGUCUUCGAGGACCACCUUCAGGCAUGGGCUGAGAAGCAUGUGGAGGUUUUUGACCAGGUAAGAAAUAUUGUCCUUGGUUAAUUUAUUUUCUGGCCCUCCAAGAGCUAUGUAAAAGAUGUAUUAGUAAUAAUAUGAAAUAUAAUUUAAUUUAUUUCUAAUGUUUAUUUAUUUAAAUCUUAAAUGUUGUCUGAUAGGUUUUCACAGCUGUUUCACAAGGUAUACAUUAUUGUAAAUUUUAACAUAUCCCUUGACGGUAUUUGUUAGUGCAACAUUAAUCAUGGUUGUGUCCUAGGACCUACAAUAGAUAUAUUUUCAACCACAAUGGUGUACUAAUGCUAUAUAUUUUUAAAAAUCAUAAUAGCGGACUACUGAUAUAAUAUUAUUUCAGUGUAGAUAAGGGAAGGCCAGUUUAAAAUGAAAACAUACCAGCCAGACAAGCCAGUGUAUGAAUCAAAUGUAUUUACAUAUGAAUGAAGUGGAAAUUAGCUGACUUUGUUAUCUGUAAGGUAAGUACAUUAAUGUAUGUGGGGGAGCAUCGAAACAAAUGAUUAUAUAUUUUUUACCCCGAUGCCUGUUUAUUCAUAACAAACAGAAGAUAGUAAAUAUAAUUGAUUGCAAUGGUUAGCCUAUGCAAAUGAAUAGGACAACAUCAACAGCUCAUUAAUAGGACUACAUUUAGCCUAAUUGGGAACAAACAAUAUGGGGGAAAGUCAAAGGAUCCUCUUCAGGUUAUUUGUCAAACCCAGAUGUAUGUCAAACCCAGAUGUAUGUAUGUCUUCCUUUGUGUCAAAUCUGUAGGCGAUUGUUAGCUAAAUCAAUGAUCUACUGCUGAAAUGUUCAGGCUUCAUCAUGAGCUGCGAUCAAAACAGGCUGGGAUGUUUUUGGUUCCGUUUCAGUUAAAGGUAUGGGUAAUAAAGCAACUGCACUGAAAUGAAUAGCCUGAUUCAAUGCGAUUCCCCUGAAUAAAAGGUGUACCCGUUAAACUGUUUGGUCUAUGAAUAGACCCAACCCGAUUCUAUCUUUUUGGUCUUUUGCUGUAUGCAUAGCCUACCACUAAUAUUCUAAAUUAGGGAGCAUUUAAUUAAACAACCAAACGUUUCCUGUGAUGAUGAGGCUAAGCAAGACCUUCGAUAGGCUAGUAGACUAUGCAGAAAUUAAUUGUGGAGUUAAUCUUUAUUAUAGCCUAGAUCACUUUAUCAAAUUAAAUGUAUUUGUCACAUACACAUGGUUAGCAGAUGUUAAUGCGAGUGUAGCGAAAUGCUUGUGCUUCUAGUUCCGACAAUGCAGUAAUAACCAACAAGUAAUCUAACCUAACAAUUCCAAAACUACAACCUUAUACAUACAAGUGUAAAGGGAUAAAGAAUAUGUACAUAAAGAUAUGAAUGAGUGAUGGUACAGACGGCAUAGGCAAGAUGCAGUAGAUGGUAUCGAGUACAGUAUAUACAUAUGAGAUGAAUAAUGUAGGUUAUGUAAACAUUAUAUUAAGUAGCAUUGUAUAAAGUGACUAGUGAUAUAUUUUACAUCAGUUCCCAUUAUUAAAGUGGCAGGAGUUGAGUCAGUGUGUUGGCAGCAGCCACUCAAUGUUAGUGAUGGCUGUUUAACAGUCUGAUGACCUUGUGAUAGAAGCUGUUUUUCAGUCUCUCAGUCCCUGCUUUGAUGCACCUGUACUGACCUCGCCUUCUGGAUGAUAGCGGGGUGAACAAGCAGUGGCUCGGCUGGUUGUUGUCCUUGAUGAUCUUUAUGGCCUUCCUGUGAUAUCGGGUGGUGUAGGUGUCCUGGAGGGCAGGUAGUUUGCCCCCGGUGAUGCGUUGUGCAGACCUCACUACCCUCUGGAGAGCCUUACGGUUGUAGGCGGAGCAGUUGCCGUACCAGGUGGAGAUACAGCCCGACAGGAUACUCUCGAUUGUGCAUCUGUAGAAGUUUGAGUGCUUUUGGUGACAAGCCAAAUUUCUUCAGCCUCCUGAGGUUGAAGAGGCGCUACUGCGCCUUCUUCACGAUGCUGUCUGUGUGGGUGGACCAAGUCAGUUUGUCUGUGAUGUGUACGCCUAGGAACUUAACUUACUACCCUCUCCACUACUGUCCCAUCGAUGUGGAUGUGAUCACUUUGUAUAACCAAGACUGGGUUUUCUUCUAAGGAUAAGCAAACAAGCAUAUGCUUUUUGCCCGCCUAAAUAACAAGGUUUCACUUACCCCUUCAAUUCAAGCCCUGCUUUUAACCACAAGACAUAUCCACAGAAAUGUAUAGCCUAAGGAUUGCAUGGUGACAGUGUGUCACGUCCUGACCUUAGAAAACAUGUAUUUUCUAUGGUAGAGUAGGUCAGGGCUUGAAUAGGGGUUUUAGUCUUGUUUAUUAUUUCUAUGUGGGGUUCUAGGUUUGAUUUUCUAUGUUGGGGUUUGUGUAUGAUUCCCAAUUAGAGGCAGCUGGUAAUCGUCUCUAAUUGGGGAUCACACUUAAGUUGCAUUUUUCCACCUGUGGGUUAUGGGAUAUUGUUUGUUUAGUUGCCUGUUAGCACUGCAUCAUCGUCACGGUUAGUUUAUUCUUUAUUUGUUUCGUCUUUGCUUAAGUUUCACUUUAUUAAUUAAAAUUAUGUGGAACUCAAAGUACGCUGCGCCUUGGUUCGAUCAUUCUUAUAAACAACGUGACACAGUGAUUGUGUCUGUCUGAACCGGUACAUUUGUGGUAACUUGGAACUCUGGGGGGAAAACGAGGUCAAAUCAUGACAGUGAUUUCCAGGUCAGAGAAAGAUGCCAGAGUUUCUGACUUGGAAUACCGAGUUGGAUCACCGUUCAAAACUAUUUUUUUCUAGUCAGAGCUCGUGUUUCUCCCUACGAGUUCCCAGUUGUCUUGAAUGCAAUGAAGUCAGAAUUCAGAGAUUGCUGAGUUCCGAGUGGUUGUGAAUGUGCCACUCGAGACCUAGGCUACCUCUUAUUUCUGAGUAGGGCUACCUGCAACAAAGAAGCCUUUGUGUCCGUAUUGAUUUGAGAAAUAGGCAUAUCUACACAGUAAUGGUGGCUGACUACAAAUCAACUAUUCUAAUAAUUUUUGUUUUUAAGUGAUAUGCCUAUUUUAGCUAAAUCAACAAAUGAAAUUAAUUUAAUUACUCUGGCAAAUGGAAAUAUUUUUUACAAAAUCAUGUAGACGUUUGCAAGGCGUUCAUGGUGAGAUCUUUAAUAAUAAACUAAACAGACACUUAAACUAACACGUGACACGUAAAUGCUGCGUGUACACGUACACGACUUGAAAGCAUGAUGUAGACGUUUUAAGGUGUUCAUGGUGAGAACUUUCGUAAUAAACUUAACAAGCAAACUGAGGGGUUCACUGUAAAUAGAGAAACACUUCAAGAGGCAUUCUAACAGUGACAGCAUCAACACAGGUUAAACAACUCACUGGAAAACUUGAUAUUACAAAAAUAAUACAAUUUGGAUUGUAAAUCAUGAAUAGAAUUGCUUGAAUUAAUGUUUAUAUAGUGUGCAUAAUAGUAUACCCCUCAUGAAAACUCUGGGCUCUGGUUAUAUACUAUAGCUAGGGCCAGGAGUUGUAAUGAUGAAUUAAGUAUGAAUAAUGAAUAAGCUAAAUCAUGCAAAUAUGACUUGUCUGUGUAAGCAGUAUAUAAGAGGACGUACAUGACUUCAGACCGAUACUUUAUGCAUCUAAGUCUGACGGUGACCUCCCGCUUGCUGUUAAUAAAGAAUGAUUAAUUUAAGAUUGA